rnacentral:lncRNA from 1 species
CUUGCAACCAGGGGCUGAUGUGUACCUUCUGCUGCCUCUUCAAGAAUUCCGUUUCCGACGUGAAUGUUCACAUCUGCUUUCUAGACCUGCUGACAGAACUCAGGUAUCUGUGCCUUUCACCUCUACAACAGCAGAUAACAUCCACCACAUAUAAAUAUAAGACUGCUGAUGAGAGAUUUUAUGAGACUGAGAAACUGAAUUUCAGACAUCUACUGUGGUAGAAAACAGUGAUUCACUGAAGCCGUGGUCUCCAAUCAGAGCGCUCACGUGCUUUGUCCCAUAGGAGAGACAACCUGAAACAUAUGGGAGAUCAAACUGUAAGCCAGAGGGUAUGGCAAAUUAUUAACUGCAUUUUAACUGAAGUCAUUAUCCCAGAACUGCUAAAAUAUUUAUUUUAGAUGUGUAUCAUGUUAUAUUUCAACUUCAAAUCACUUGUGGAGG